rnacentral:rRNA from 1 species
CCUACGGGAGGCAGCAGUGGGGAAUAUUGGACAAUGGGCGAAAGCCUGAUCCAGCAAUUCCGCGUGUGUGAAGAAGGCCUUCGGGUUGUAAAGCACUUUAGUUGGGGAAGAAACAGCUUGGCCACACCAAGCCUUGACGGUACCCAAAGAAUAAGCACCGGCUAACUCUGUGCCAGCAGCCGCGGUAAUACAGAGGGUGCAAGCGUUAAUCGGAUUUACUGGGCGUAAAGGGUGCGUAGGUGGUUUUGUAAGUCGGAUGUGAAAGCCUGGGGCUCAACCUCAGAAUUGCACUCGAUACUGCAAGACUAGAGUUCGGUAGAGGGCGGCGGAAUUCCCGGUGUAGCGGUGAAAUGCGUAGAUAUCGGGAGGAACAUCAAUGGCGAAGGCAGCCGCCUGGGCCUGAACUGACACUGAGGCACGAAAGCGUGGGUAGCAAACAGGAUUAGAUACCCUGGUAGUCCACGCUGUAAACGAUGAGAACUUGACGUUGGUUCGUUUUACGAAUCGGUGUCGCAGCUAACGCGAUAAGUUCUCCGCCUGGGGAGUACGGCCGCAAGGUUGAAAACUCAAAGGAAUUGACGGCGNGAGACGNGCGACGACGACACGAGGGAGGAGG